rnacentral:rRNA from 1 species
CUGAGGUGACGAGCGGCGGACGGGUGAGUAAUGCCUAGGGAUCUGCCCAGUCGAGGGGGAUAACAGUUGGAAACGACUGCUAAUACCGCAUACGCCCUACGGGGGAAAGGAGGGGACCUUCGGGCCUUCCGCGAUUGGAUGAACCUAGGUGGGAUUAGCUAGUUGGUGAGGUAAUGGCUCACCAAGGCGACGAUCCCUAGCUGUUCUGAGAGGAUGAUCAGCCACACUGGGACUGAGACACGGCCCAGACUCCUACGGGAGGCAGCAGUGGGGAAUAUUGCACAAUGGGGGAAACCCUGAUGCAGCCAUGCCGCGUGUGUGAAGAAGGCCUUCGGGUUGUAAAGCACUUUCAGUAGGGAGGAAAGGGUAUUGUUUAAUACGCAACAUCUGUGACGUUACCUACAGAAGAAGGACCGGCUAACUCCGUGCCAGCAGCCGCGGUAAUACGGAGGGUCCGAGCGUUAAUCGGAAUUACUGGGCGUAAAGCGUGCGCAGGCGGUUUGUUAAGCCAGAUGUGAAAUCCCCGGGCUCAACCUGGGAAUUGCAUUUGGAACUGGCGAACUAGAGUCUUGUAGAGGGGGGUAGAAUUCCAGGUGUAG